rnacentral:rRNA from 1 species
UGAGUAACACGUAUCCAACCUGCCGUCUACUCUUGGACAGCCUUCUGAAAGGAAGAUUAAUACAAGAUGGCAUCAUGAGUCCGCAUGUUCACAUGAUUAAAGGUAUUCCGGUAGACGAUGGGGAUGCGUUCCAUUAGAUAGUAGGCGGGGUAACGGCCCACCUAGUCUUCGAUGGAUAGGGGUUCUGAGAGGAAGGCCCCCCACAUUGGAACUGAGACACGGUCCAA